rnacentral:tmRNA from 1 species
GGGGCCGAUUGGUUUUGACAGCGGUCAAAACAGGUAGGUAAGCACGCAGUGCUAUGGUAAUACGCACUUUAAUAUCCUUACCAAACCAAUAACUGGCGAAAACAAUUACGCACUCGCUGCUUAAUCGAAGUAUAGUAGAUCUAAGCUUAAUUUCUGUCACAGUGGCAGAAACGGGUCAUCACCCCGGUGCUGUGGUUCCGAAGCGGCCGGACCAGGUGGUGCAGCAAUAUCGGAAAUAGGCAGGGAAAGGCUCCGGUUCCAGGCCGAAAUUUAAGGAGAUAAGCUCCGGGUAGAUAGCUUCGGUUUUGCCCCGGGUCGAAAAACUAAACGAAGAUAAGCGUGUAGAAAGCCUAUUGGUUUUCCGUUUGGACGAGGGUUCGAUGCCCUCCGGCUCCACCA